rnacentral:rRNA from 1 species
GGUUAAGCGACUAAGCGUACACGGUGGAUGCCCUGGCAGUCAGAGGCGAUGAAGGACGUGCUAAUCUGCGAUAAGCGUCGGUAAGGUGAUAUGAACCGUUAUAACCGGCGAUUUCCGAAUGGGGAAACCCAGUGUGAUUCGUCACACUAUCAUUACGUGAAUACAUAGCGUAAUGAAGCGAACCGGGGGAACUGAAACAUCUAAGUACCCCGAGGAAAAGAAAUCAACCGAGAUUCCCCCAGUAGCGGCGAGCGAACGGGGAGCAGCCCAGAGUCUGAAUCAGCUUGUGUGUUAGUGGAACGGUCUGGAAAGUCCGACGGUACAGGGUGAUAGUCCCGUACACCAAAAUGCACAGGUUGUGAACUCGAAGAGUAGGGCGGGACACGUGGUAUCCUGUCUGAAUAUGGGGGGACCAUCCUCCAAGGCUAAAUACUCCUGACUGACCGAUAGUGAACCAGUACCGUGAGGGAAAGGCGAAAAGAACCCCGGCGAGGGGAGUGAAAAAGAACCUGAAACCGUGUACGUACAAGCAGUGGGAGCCUCUUUAUGGGGUGACUGCGUACCUUUUGUAUAAUGGGUCAGCGACUUAUAUUCUGUAGCAAGGUUAACCGUAUAGGGGAGCCGAAGGGAAACCGAGUCUUAACUGGGCGUUAAGUUGCAGGGUAUAGACCCGAAACCCGGUGAUCUAGCCAUGGGCAGGUUGAAGGUUGGGUAACACUAACUGGAGGACCGAACCGACUAAUGUUGAAAAAUUAGCGGAUGACUUGUGGCUGGGGGUGAAAGGCCAAUCAAACCGGGAGAUAGCUGGUUCUCCCCGAAAGCUAUUUAGGUAGCGCCUCGUGAACUCAUCUUCGGGGGUAGAGCACUGUUUCGGCUAGGGGGUCAUCCCGACUUACCAACCCGAUGCAAACUGCGAAUACCGAAGAAUGUUAUCACGGGAGACACACGGCGGGUGCUAACGUCCGUCGUGAAGAGGGAAACAACCCAGACCGCCAGCUAAGGUCCCAAAGUCAUGGUUAAGUGGGAAACGAUGUGGGAAGGCACAGACAGCCAGGAUGUUGGCUUAGAAGCAGCCAUCAUUUAAAGAAAGCGUAAUAGCUCACUGGUCGAGUCGGCCUGCGCGGAAGAUGUAACGGGGCUAAACCAUGCACCGAAGCUGCGGCAGCGACACUAUGUGUUGUUGGGUAGGGGAGCGUUCUGUAAGCCGUUGAAGGUGUAUCGUGAGGUAUGCUGGAGGUAUCAGAAGUGCGAAUGCUGACAUAAGUAACGAUAAUGCGGGUGAAAAACCCGCACGCCGGAAGACCAAGGGUUCCUGUCCAACGUUAAUCGGGGCAGGGUGAGUCGACCCCUAAGGCGAGGCCGAAAGGCGUAGUCGAUGGGAAACAGGUUAAUAUUCCUGUACUUGGUG